rnacentral:rRNA from 1 species
AUGCAAGUCGAGCGGGGGAAGGUAGCUUGCUACCGGACCUAGCGGCGGACGGGUGAGUAAUGCUUAGGAAUCUGCCUAUUAGUGGGGGACAACAUCUCGAAAGGGAUGCUAAUACCGCAUACGUCCUACGGGAGAAAGCAGGGGAUCUUCGGACCUUGCGCUAAUAGAUGAGCCUAAGUCGGAUUAGCUAGUUGGUGGGGUAAAGGCCUACCAAGGCGACGAUCUGUAGCGGGUCUGAGAGGAUGAUCCGCCACACUGGGACUGAGACACGGCCCAGACUCCUACGGGAGGCAGCAGUGGGGAAUAUUGGACAAUGGGGGGAACCCUGAUCCAGCCAUGCCGCGUGUGUGAAGAAGGCCUUAUGGUUGUAAAGCACUUUAAGCGAGGAGGAGGCUACUUUAGUUAAUACCUAGAGAUAGUGGACGUUACUCGCAGAAUAAGCACCGGCUAACGCUGUGCCAGCAGCCGCGGUAAUACAGAGGGUGCGAGCGUUAAUCGGAUUUACUGGGCGUAAAGCGUGCGUAGGCGGCUUAUUAAGUCGGAUGUGAAAUCCCCGAGCUUAACUUGGGAAUUGCAUUCGAUACUGGUGAGCUAGAGUAUGGGAGAGGAUGGUAG